AUUGAACGCUGGCGGCAUGCCUUACACAUGCAAGUCGAGCGGCAGCGCGGGGGCAACCCUGGCGGCGAGCGGCGAACGGGUGAGUAAUACAUCGGAACGUGUCCUGUCGUGGGGGAUAACCAGUCGAAAGAUUGGCUAAUACCGCAUGACCUCGUAAGAGAAAAGCGGGGGAUCGCAAGACCUCGCGCGAUUGGAGCGGCCGAUGGCGGAUUAGCUAGUUGGCGGGGUAAAAGCCCACCAAGGCGACGAUCCGUAGCUGGUUUGAGAGAACGACCAGCCACACUGGGACUGAGACACGGCCCAGACUCCUACGGGAGGCAGCAGUGGGGAAUUUUGGACAAUGGGGGCAACCCUGAUCCAGCCAUGCCGCGUGUGUGAAGAAGGCCUUCGGGUUGUAAAGCACUUUCGGCCGGAACGGAAUCGCGCGGGUGAACAUCCCGCGUGGAUGACGGUACCGGAAGAAGAAGCACCGGCUAACUACGUGCCAGCCGCCGCGGUAA
rnacentral:rRNA from 1 species